GGUGAUAUAGCUCAGUUGGUAGAGUGCCUGCCUUGCAUGCACAAAGCCCUGAGUUCAAUCCCCAGCACUGCCA
rfam:Ictidomys tridecemlineatus contig035521, whole genome shotgun sequence.